UACGUAGGGUGCAAGCGUUGUCCGGAAUUAUUGGGCGUAAAGAGCUCGUAGGCGGUUUGUCGCGUCUGCUGUGAAAACCCGAGGCUCAACCUCGGGCCUGCAGUGGGUACGGGCAGACUAGAGUGCGGUAGGGGAGAUUGGAAUUCCUGGUGUAGCGGUGGAAUGCGCAGAUAUCGGGAAGAACACCCGUGGCGAAGGCGGCUCUCUGGGACGGUACUGACGCUGAGACGCGAAAGCGUGGGGAGCAAACAGG
rnacentral:rRNA from 1 species